ACAGCCAUCUCAGCUGAAGUCUGCUUUUUACGCGUAUUUCGCCGUUAUGAGUCGCCUUCUCCGCUCUCUCGCACACAUGUGGACACAUUAAAUCAGACCGAGGGUAGCACCGUGUGCGUCUGCUCACACACCGGGAGGGGGGGGGAGGGAGAGGUUGUGUAACUGGUUCACCUCAGCUGAACUCGGCGCAUCUGCGUUCGUCGGCGGCGAAGGACGCGGCAGCCUCUCCCCCGCGUCCCCGGUGAACUCUGCGAGGGGGGCCCGCCGGCGAGAGAGACACCGGACCCGGGCACUUUCUCUCGAUAUGUCCGCUUAUACCAGCCUCGUUCGAGCCCGCAUUGUCGCCUUGAGUUUAUUAUUUUUUAUUUAUUUAUUUAUUUAUUGCUGCUGGGGGGAAAUAGUAGGAAAUAGAAAGCCCCGCGGAGGAGGAAGAGACCGGCCAACUUGAACUUGAGACGUAACGGACGAGAGACGGGCCGAGGGAGGAAGGCCUCAGAGACACGCUGCAACCCAGGAAGGAAAUGUGGGCAUACUGUGUGCUGCUGCUGCUGCCGAUGUGUCCGGCGCAACGAGUCGGUGGAGAAUCCAGCGGUCUGGCCCGGAUAGCUCAGUCCGGUUGCUCCAAAGUGGGCUCAUUAUUUAGGAAUUACUCUAUUUUUCCUGGCUGGAAGUCAAAAUUGAGGUUUAGGAAACCUGAGAGGAGGGGAGCUGAAGGAGCGCUCAGACCUGAUACUGCAGAGGGGAAGUAACCUGAAGAACUCAAGACGUGACGUGCAGGAAGUAGACAACUGUGUUAAAUUACCCCAUUAACCCAGAAAAAAAGAAAAGAUUUAGCUGCAAAGCUAACAAGCUUUAUCUUUACUUAAACAACUUCAAGCGUGGAAUCAACCCGGUUGGUAUCAUUAGAUCAAUAAGUAGAAAAGCAGCUUUACCAUUUUUGCCUUUAUUGUUUAGAUUGUGUUGAUUUGGACUCUGGUUUUAAAAUAUAAGACCUAUAAUAAAUUAAGUGAACAUUUAUAAUUGAUACCUAGGAUUCCUGACAUUGGGCCUUGGCCGGUAUGAGAUUUUCACAAUCUGACAACCUUGAGUAAAAAUAACAGGAUUUGACUAUAUUUACUAAAAUAAAAUUUGUGUAAAAACAACAAUCAAAUAAAAAAAGUAUUCCUGCUGCUGCUGAAAAAAAUAAUAGCAUAUUGAUUAUUAUAAUAGCAUUUAUUUAAACGUUAAUUAGGAGAGCUAGCUCCUCUGGUUGCUAGCCCGCAGUCCGCUGCUUAUCAAACAUGCUGCCAGUGGAUUUACUGUCAUUUUCAGUCUGCUCGCUAUAGAAGAGCGCUGGGCAGUGUCCCUUUAAUCAUCAUGAUUUUUUUGUGAUUGCAAAUAUUCCCAAAGACCUAAAUAUAGCUUUCCUGUAAGCGAGGGAAAAGUGCAGCUAACAGGCAGUGUGCAGCAGCAAGUAGCACCAGACCUGCAUUACACUGUAUCAGAUCCAGUCAGAAAAAUUAUGAUGAUAUGACGAAGAAUUGUCGGACUUAAAUACUAAUAUUUAAAAUGAGCGACAUGUUUGUUGGUUGUCUUUAAGUUUAUGUUUCCACAGGUUGAUGAUGAAGAAGCGACAGAGGCGGCAGAUAAACUGUCCUUUGGGGUGAGGUAGUAGGUUGUAUAGUUUUAGGGUCGUUCCCAAGCUGUCAGAUGACUAUACAACUUACUGUCUUUCCUGAAGUGGCUGUGAAAGCUUCAUCGUCGUGAUCAUCAGUCGUA